UGCUGGCUUGGCAGGCGGUGCGGCAGGCGUUUCCGCCGCCUUGGGCUCGGGUUCGGGUUCCUUGGCAGGCAC
rnacentral:tRNA from 1 species